CUAAGAUAGGUUAUGGUUAGGAUGGAUUAGGGUUGAAGGAUUAGGGUAAGUGUGGUUGGGUUAGGAUGGGUUAUGGGUAGUUGGAUUAAGGAGUUAGGGUUAGUUUGGAAGUGUUAGGAUGGGUUAUGGUUAGGAUGGAUUAGGGUGGUCGGGUUACGGUAUGUGUGGUAGGGUAAGAUGAGUUACGAUUAGGGUGGAUUAGGGUGGUAGGGUUAAGGUUAGUGUGGUAGGAC